rnacentral:rRNA from 1 species
AUUGAACGCUGGCGGCAGGCCUAACACAUGCAAGUCGAGCGGAUGAGUGGAGCUUGCUCCAUGAUUCAGCGGCGGACGGGUGAGUAAUGCCUAGGAAUCUGCCUGGUAGUGGGGGACAACGUUUCGAAAGGAACGCUGAUACCGCAUACGUCCUACGGGAGAAAGCAGGGGACCUUCGGGCCUUGCGCUAUCAGAUGAGCCUAGGUCGGAUUAGCUAGUAGGUGAGGUAAUGGCUCACCUAGGCGACGAUCCGUAAAAGGUCUGAGAGGAUGAUCAGUCAAACGGGAACUGAGACACGGUCCAGAAUCCUACGGGAGGCAGCAGUGGGGAAUAUUGGACAAUGGGCGAAAGCCUGAUCCAGCCAUGCCGCGUGUGUGAAGAAGGUCUUCGGAUUGUAAAGCACUUUAAGUUGGGAGGAAGGGCAGUAAGUUAAUACCUUGCUGUUUUGACGUUACCAACAGAAUAAGCACCGGCUAACUUCGUGCCAGCCGCCGCCGUAAAAC